UUGCUUGUUCCCCUAUAGUUUUAUUUGAUUUCGUUGGGAACUCCCUAUCAGUCUGCUAGUUUCUUUAAUCCUACUCGGUCGUCCUUUUCCAAUAGUUCGUCCUAUCCAGAAAAAUUGAUUUGUUUUAAUUUGCGUGCGAUUAAAAUCUGUUUUGUGUUUACAGAUUACCUGUUAGAUUUGUUUGAGUUUACAAUUUUUUUUUUUU
rnacentral:lncRNA from 1 species